GAACUUAUUUAAAUGCAGAUGUCGGCCAUAUAGCGAAUCACUCUGAUUGCUGUCGCUGUGCUAUAUACACGUCCUUUCAACUUAAUCUUCUGCCAAAAUGUGUGACGAGGAGGCAUCAGCUCUGGUCGUGGACAAUGGAUCCGGCAUGUGCAAGGCUGGCUUCGCCGGCGACGAUGCGCCACGCGCUGUCUUCCCAUCGAUUGUGGGCCGUCCUCGCCAUCAGGGCGUGAUGGUGGGCAUGGGUCAGAAGGAUUGCUAUGUGGGCGAUGAGGCGCAGAGCAAGCGUGGUAUUCUCUCGCUCAAGUAUCCCAUCGAGCAUGGCAUCAUCACCAACUGGGACGACAUGGAGAAGGUCUGGCAUCACACCUUCUACAAUGAGCUGCGCGUGGCUCCCGAGGAGCAUCCCGUCCUGCUCACCGAGGCCCCACUCAAUCCAAAGGCCAAUCGCGAGAAGAUGACACAGAUCAUGUUCGAGACCUUCAACUCCCCAGCCAUGUACGUGGCCAUCCAGGCGGUGCUCUCGCUCUAUGCCUCCGGCCGUACCACUGGCAUUGUUCUCGAUUCCGGCGACGGUGUUUCCCACACUGUGCCCAUCUAUGAGGGCUACGCCCUGCCACAUGCCAUCCUCCGUCUGGAUCUGGCCGGUCGCGACUUGACCGACUACCUGAUGAAGAUCCUCACCGAGCGCGGCUACUCGUUCACCACCACCGCUGAGCGUGAAAUCGUGCGCGACAUCAAGGAGAAGCUGUGCUACGUGGCUCUCGACUUUGAGCAGGAAAUGGCCACAGCCGCCGCCUCCACCUCGCUGGAGAAGUCCUACGAGCUGCCCGAUGGCCAGGUCAUCACCAUUGGCAACGAGCGCUUCCGCACACCCGAGGCUCUCUUCCAGCCCUCGUUCCUGGGCAUGGAGUCGUGUGGCAUUCACGAAACCGUCUACCAGUCGAUCAUGAAGUGCGACGUGGACAUCCGCAAGGACUUGUAUGCCAACAAUGUGCUGUCCGGCGGCACCACCAUGUAUCCUGGUAUCGCUGAUCGCAUGCAAAAGGAAAUCACCGCCCUCGCUCCGUCCACCAUUAAGAUCAAGAUCAUUGCACCACCUGAGCGCAAAUACUCUGUGUGGAUCGGUGGCUCCAUUCUGGCCUCUCUGUCCACCUUCCAGCAGAUGUGGAUCUCCAAGCAGGAGUACGAUGAGUCUGGUCCCGGCAUUGUGCAUCGCAAGUGCUUCUAAGCAGCGAAUGCAUAACAACAACAAUAGCAGCAGCAACCAACAACAACAACAACAUCAAACAGCAAGAAAAACAACAACAACUAGAGACACCAACAACAACAAGAACAAGUGGCGUUUAUAUAUAGCCUAUAUGAGAAGAUCUGACACGCAUAUCUUAUAUCUGACAUUGGGUAUAUGUUUAGCUAUGGCCAGGCUAGCUGCAUCUGGGCGCCCAAGCGGCGCUGCAUGCACAAAACAACAACAACAACAACAACAAACACAAAAAGUAUCUUCAAAAUUACAUUUAGUUGAAAAGAGGCGGAGGAAGUAGUAGAAGCAAACAUAGAGGACAAGAGACACCCCCACAUGAAAAGAGAAAAGAAAACAAACAGAAAAGACAAGCAAAAAUCGAUUACGGAGCUGACAAAAAAAAAGAGCACAAAAGAACUCAAUAAAGAAAAGACAAUCGGAUGUACAAUGAAACAAGGUA
rnacentral:misc_RNA from 1 species